GACGAACGCUGGCGGCGUGCCUAAUACAUGCAAGUCGAACGAACCGCGACUAAGUGCUUGCACUAAGUCAAGGUGAGUGGCGAACGGGUGAGUAACACGUGGGUAACCUACCUCAUAGUGGGGGAUAACAGUCGGAAACGACUGCUAAUACCGCAUAGGACAUAGGAUCACAUGAUCCAGUGAGGAAAGGUGGCGCAAGCUAUCGCUAAGAGAUGGACCCGCGGUGCAUGAGCUAGUUGGUAGGGUAAAGGCCUACCAAGGCGAUGAUGCAUAGCCGACCUGAGAGGGUGAUCGGCCACAUUGGGACUGAGACACGGCCCAAACUCCUGCGGGAGGCAGCAGUAGGGAAUCUUCCGCAAUGGACGCAAGUCUGACGGAGCAACGCCGCGUGAGUGCAGAAGGUCUUCGGAUCGUAAAGCUCUGUUGUUAGAGAAGAACAGCGCAUAGAGUAACUGCUAUGCGUGUGACGGUAUCUAACCAGAAAGCCACGGCUAACUACGUG
rnacentral:rRNA from 1 species